rnacentral:miRNA from 1 species
AGUUGUUAAUAGCUCGGUGAU